rnacentral:lncRNA from 1 species
UUGUAAAUGGGAUUUUUUUAUUCACCCAGGCACCUAAUUACAACAAGCAUGCACAUUUUGGUGCAUUCAAGAAUGGAAAAUCAGAAUAGCAGCAUUGAUUCUUCUGGUGCAGCUCAGUGGAAGAUGAUGACAACCAGAAGACAUGAGCUAAGGGUAAGGGACUGUUCUGAAGAACCUUUCCAUUUAGUGAUCAAGAUAUGGAAGCUGAUUUCUGAAAAUGCUCAGUGUGUACUCUAAUUAUUUAUGGUACCAUUUGAAUUGUAACUUGCAUUUUAGCAGUGCAUGUUUCUAAUUGACUUACUGGGAAACUGAAUAAAAUAUGC